GUCUUCUCUACACCUCUCAGAUGCAUCCUGAUUUGGUGAUAACCCGCCUUUAAAUAAAUCUUCGAAAACAUGUUGGCCCCAUUCAGCUCAUUGAAUAACUCAUCUAUGACCGGAAUUGGGAACUUAUCUGGGAUAGUGACAUUGUUCAACUCCCGAUAAUCUACACAAAAUUGCCAGCUAUCAUCUUUCUUUUUCACGAGAAGGACUGGGCUGGAAUACAGACUGGUACCCGGUCAUAUGAUGCCUGUCUUCAACAUUUCAUCAACUAGUCUUUCAAUUUCCUCCUUUUGCCGAUGUGCGUAACGAUAAGGUCUGACAUUAACUGGAUCCACCCCCUUCUGAAGGGGUAUAUGGUGCUCAAUGUUCCUCUUCGAAGGCAGCUCUUCCAACCAAUCAAAAACAUCAUUAAAUUUGCUCAACAGAGGAGAGAUCAUGUUGUCAACAGUGGCUGGCACUUCUUCAUCCUCUAAGCCUUCCUCAGCUAGCCUUCCCUCCAUGGCCCGACAUUCUACCAAAUAACCGUGAUUAUCAGCUCCCCAUGUCUUAAUUAUAGACUUUAGGCUCACUUGGGUUUUGGUGACACUAGGGUCCCCCUUUAUCUCUAUCUUCCUUCCUCCAUGUCGGAAUGUCAUCACCAAAUUUUUCAUAUCAAAUUCAGUCAUGCCCAAUGAGUGCAACCACCCCUAAUUCCAAGGGUAAAAAGUUGUUUGUAAUUUUCCACUCUCCUACCGUCACUUCAACAUUACUGCGGAUUCCUUUUCCUUUGACCGCAACCCCUGAUCCCAAAAUCACUCCAUAGUUGGACGUUUCUGUCAUUGGUAGGCUAAGGGUGGUUACAAAAUUUUUUGCAAUAAAACUGUGGGUGGCUCCACUGUCGAUGAUUAUUACCACUUUGGUCUCUUUUAUCUUCCCUUUCAGUUUCAUGGUUCCAGGGUUGGAUAACCCCACAAUUGAGUUAAUGGACAGCUCUAUAUUCAUAUUCUCCACUUUUUCAAUUUCAAUGGUCUGGGCCUCCGUUUCCACAUCAAAGUGUUCAUCCUCAAUGAUUUCCAGUUCUUCUCCCAUUUCCUUUACUACUAACAUCCGUAAUUCCUUCUGUUCCUUCACCUUACGCCUAUGUCCAGCGUGAUACUUCUCCUCACACUGAAAACACAGACCGUUUUCCCUCCGUGCUUGAAAUUCAGCGUUGGAAAGACGCUUGGUCGGACCUUCCCUCCUCUUUUCAUCUGCCGUCACUCUUUUUAACGUAAUCGUUCUCAUUGGCCAGCUCCCUUCCGUGGGUUUCUGAUUGGGUGUUACUGUCGAGGUUUGCUUUACGUUAUUAUGCUUGAAUUGUUGAUUCAUUCCCGAAACACUACUAAGCCCACAUUCUCGACGAACCAUCUCUCUAUUUUCAAUUUCAGGGCUAGUUACAUCAUCUUGGCCAAACCUAUGGGCUCCAGCGUUUCAACUUCGGAUUUAUGCCAUGGGCUUAGCCCAUUCAUAAAGGUUUCUUCUAAUACUAUGGUCUGGAGGAAGGCUACCGGAGCUAAAUAUUUAUCGAAACUGUUUCUAUAUUCCCCUACUGUCGUUUCCUGCUUAAUCCUUAAGAAUCUGCCUACGAGUGUUCCAUCCCGAAUCGUCUGAAAUCGGACAACAACCUUUGCUUCAAAUCUUCCCAACUCUUGAAUUGUUCCAAUUCAUCAAUUGAUCUAUACCAAUCCAAAGCUGGUCCUAAUAACUGAUUACCGCUACCAUUAACUUCUCUGAGUCAGUCAACUUGUGUAUCUUGAAAUAACGAUCGGCGCGAAAUAACCAUGAAUCGGGGUCUAUUCCAUUGAAGAUCGGGAUCUCUACCUUCUUGAACUUGCUCCGGUCUGUUGUUUUUUCCUCGUCUUUCCUUCCAUAUUUCUUCGAUCCUUCCGAUAUUUCUGAACAUUCGUUUCGAUCCCUUUUGUGUGGCUCACUGCGCCUUCUGUUUUCUUUCCCUUUUGUGUGGCUCACAUCCUAAACACAUCCUUUGUUUUACUGCUAAACCAAUGACAGAGUGGCUAACAUGUGUAGAACAUGGACUCUGGCAAACUAAAGUGUGUACUUCUUAACUAGUCCCUAUUCGAUGCUUAAUUAUGAAAUUAUAUUUUCCAAUUCAAAUUAUAGCAUUAGUCUCUUUACAUUUACUUAGUGAGAAGUCUCCUUUCCUGGUAAUGAAAAAAUUGUAUUCCAAAUAAAUGGCAUACUAUAUAAUCAAUUAUUUGACAAUUAUUUUUAGAAAGUUUAAGAAUUCUUCUGACUAAUGAUGAAAAGAGGACGACUUCAUAUUUAUUAUUAAGUUGUGUUCACACUGCUCAAAGCCCUAACCCAUGUAUAUGAUUGUUGUUCGGUAGUGACAUUUGUUUGUAGCUUCUCUGAACUUUUCACUGAGAAAUUCUAUAGGACACCUUCUAAUGAGUUAAAUUCCUAUCCAAAUUGUGGAAGUAUAUAUGACUUAAUUAAACAAUAAUGCAUCAUUGCGUACUCUAGUGGGAUGGUGUUGUUGUCACCACCCCCUCCCAAAGCUCCUUAUUUUCUGAACAACAUCUAGCUCUGAAAGAAGGUGCGAGGGUUGGCAAGGAUUGCCAUACCUUGGCAAAACUUACCAACCGACUAACCUUUCUAACUUAACUACCAGUUACAACAUGAAUGCAUGCUCAAAACAAACAGCGAUACAAGCUACAUGCUUUUACUAAUAACUUAAACCACUAGUUACAACUAUUGUGAUACAUCAGCAGAAGCUUUAAACAUGACAGUGACCUUUUUACUAAACUAACUUAUAACAUUGGAACUUUAACAAUAAACAUAGACAUGCUCAUCCUGAACUUUUCUUACAAAGUCAAAACUAACUUUCAAAAUGACUUAACAAUUUCUAGUAACUGGUUGGCUCAGCAGCAAUACGCUUAACAUUAGGGAAUGCAUAAUCCAUACCUGAAAAGUGAGAAAUGAUUUGAAAGGAUAAGUCGAAAGACUUAGUGAGUGACAAUUUUUAUAAAACAUGCUUUCUAAAACAGUUAAGCAUAAAUUCUUGUCUUAUAGAAACAUUCAAGCUGUUGGAAAUCAUUUGAAAGACAUGAUACUCGAACUGCAUUCUUGAUUAUAAAUUCACAACCCGUUCUUAGCAUGAAGUCUAGGUAAUAUUAACACCUCAUUGUCAAAAGACGGCCUAGGCAUUGAAACACCUCUUCGAAAAAAGAAGGUAUCCUUCUCCUCAAUGGGCUCAACAAAGUACACCUUUCCUGAUGAAUUCAGCAUAGGCUCGUCAACUUUCCCAUUAGUAGUAGAGUUAACCAAAUGUGCACAUACGACCGUAAAGAGAACAUAGAACAUAUGGGCUGCUGGUUGCAUUGCAUAGAACAUCCGCAUGCUCGAACAUCCAGAAUUUGCUCAAAAUUUCCCAAAACACCAAACAUCCCAAAAACUACGUCAUGACAAUGCUGGCUGCACGGCAUGGGCGCAGGCAGCAUGCACGUGCAUAGAGUAUCAGAAUGCCAGUUGCAUGCUUGGCUUGGGCCCACACAUGCCGCGUGCACCUCACCGCAUGCUGUCAUAAUCGUAAAUUUUCAAAUAGGGGAUGGUGAUUAUGCGACGUUUGUUCUAGCUCGGUGAACAAGUAAGCUGUAUGAAAUCCAGAAGUCGCAAAAAGCACGCAGUACGGUAUAGCCUCUUUCAUGUUUUGAGAGAAAUUUAUUUUUAUAAGACAAGAAGAGAAGAAAAGAAUUGAAAACAUCGUUAAAGAAAGCAUUGAAGACUGUUAAUUGCAAAGAAAGAUUAGAAUGCAAAGAGUGCAACAAGGCUUGGUCAGGGAUUCAACUACUAUGUCUUCCCUAUAGUACAUUUUAAACAUUUUUAGCUAUGACAGACUUGCAUAUGAAAAUUUUGAAACGUCACACCCUAGGUCGGCGACAACAAAAGGAAACAAAAUGGCUAAACUAAGUAUAAGACAUAAAUAUAAGGCGGUUUGAGGAUGUUCGGCCAUGCGGCCAUGGGCAAACAAUGCCUUGGACAAGCAUGCUCUUGACAUUCUCCCCUACUUAAACAGUUGACGUCCCUGUCGACUGGCGAAGCUGGAACUCUUUGAUCUUCCAUUUCCACACUUCAAGGUCUUCGACACGUUCACAAUUUGUUUCUUCCACAUGGAGGUUCUUCUACUUGACCAAGAAUUCGUGGAUUCUCCCAAUAGUGUUAAAUUGUGUUGGUUGAUCUGAAAUUCCUUGUAGUGGUUGUAAUCUGAUGCGUAGAAUUUCUUGACAACCUCCAUCGAAUCUUGGAAGUCCCUUGAAGAACUUACUCCAUCCAAACGCCCCAAUUGGGGCGUCCAUAAACUCUCGGAGGGCCACGUCGAAAGGAAAGGUCCUUCUCUACCUUCACUUUGCUGGCAAUGCUAAACUUUGGGGCCUUGCCUCCCUCGCCACCUUGUUGGCUUCCCUCAGGAACCUUAUUUGAUCGUGAAAUUGGAAUCUGCUGAGAAGACGUGGAAAAAAUUAUCGGUUAAGCUGGUCAAUCCAGAUAUUGUCUCAAACCCCACAGAGUAUCAAAAACUAGCUCAAUCAAUAUCAGAACUUGAUGAGGUGGUAUCUACUUUUAGAAAAUUCAAGGAAUGUGAGGCCAAAGCUAAGUGGGAACGAUGAGGAUAUGGUAGAGAUGAUUGCUUUAGAAAUCAGUUCUUUAUCCAGUGAGCUCAAAGAUAUCGAAGAGAAGCUUAAGGUGCUUUUGGUUCAUGAACAUGAUUUUUGCAUGUGGAAUUGAAGCCUUUGUAACAUCUGAUCUUCAGGGUUUAUCUGAGUAGGGGCAAAAAUCACUUGAAGCUCUAAAGCCAAAACUGAAGGUAGGCGUUGAGAAGGGUUUUGCUUUUAUACAUAAGCAAGUUGUAGCUGCUUAAAAACUCUCAUUUCAAGAACAUUCAUGGAGAGUAGAUUGAAUCCCAAUAAUCGAAUUGCAACUUUUUUUAGUAGUUUGUAUGUUUCCAUUUUACCUCGUAAUUAUAAAAAUAAUGUAUUCGUUUCAUUAGGAGUUCCUAGUAAUUAAAAAUUUUGUAAUAACACGGUUUAGUUAAACUAUGCAUCUCACCAAAAAUACACUUGGAUUGUGUUUUUUGGGUCAAUACCAGAAAAAGUAUAUAAUCUAUAUGUUGGCGAUGUUCUUUGAGAGUGAAGAA